rnacentral:lncRNA from 1 species
AAAAGGGAGGCUGAGGGUUUUGCCUUCCAGUUGUACAAGUCAGCCAAAGAGAAGGGCCAAUGUUGCUGAUUGCCCUUUUCCAGAGGUCCAUAUGCCCUCAGUGAGAGAGCCAUCGUGGUAUCAGGGGAGAGGGGUGGCUCUCAGGUCUCUUCCUACUCCUCCCUCCAAUGAAGGGGGGUGCGAUGGCCCUGGUUUCAUAUGGGUUGAGGAUCCCAGAACCAGUACUGGCACUGGUGGGGCCAUGGGGGCAAGGGUAGGGAGAUUUGAAGGAAGAGGAUCUUGGAGUCAACUGUUGGUCAACUGUUGAAGAGUCUUAGAGGAUCACAAGUUUCUCAGGUCCAGAUCUCUCCUCCCGCACUUCUUUCUUCCUGAUGGUCAGAACCUGUGAGGUAGGGUCUUGGGAAAGAAAGGCUUUUAUCUAUGAGGGAAGAGGGGAGUUCUCCACUAGAUUUUUCCAGGGUCUUGGUAUGGGUGCCAGAGAGAUCCCAGCCUAAAGACUCUCUCCUCUACUGCUUUGAUCACCUGCAAGCCAAAAGUCCCUACAAGUGGGUCAUGAUAAGAAGCAGAGAGUAACUAAUUUGUCUUUCAGUCUGUCCAAUGUCCAAAAAAUGUCUGUCAGUCUAAGCCCAAGAACAUAGAACAAGAUAUCAACAAACACAGAGAAAAACAAUCACCACACAGACAGCUUGACCCUGCCACGGAUGGGCGUCCUGGUCCAAUAACACAGAGAAAGACAAUCAACACACAUGGGCCCAGUUACAGACACCAGAUGCUCCUGCCCAUGUGGCAGGAGCCAGAUAAACCAGGUUAUAGCAAGACUUGGCUCCCGCCGAUAUUGUCUUGCAGUUUCCAGAAAGAGCAGAGCCUUCCUGGCUUCCUCCAGGGGGGUGCUGAAGUGUCCUUCAGUCCCCCCAUGGUCUCAACAUUAAGGCACGUCUGCCCGUGGCCUUUGACCACACCAAACACCGCAGGCUCUCUGAACCUCCUAACAUUUGCAAGCAAAAGUUCAAACAGACUUACAGACUCAGACUCUGAGGAACAGCGAGGCCAACUGGAACCGCUGUAAAAGCUCAAGACCGCCGAUUGAUUGACAGCUCCAGUGUGUUUCCCACAAGGAGUCAGCCCAUCACUGACAAUGAUACAAAAAUGCUGACACUCACCAACGAUACAGAAAUACUGACACUCACCCCCACCCGCUUGCCAGCAUAGACUCUCCGGACUGCCCAUUCCAGAAGCUGAGCUUGAGCAUUGGAUUGCUUUGCUCCAUCUUGCUAGUCUUUGCUGGCCACAUGCAUGUAUUGGUUUGCACUACGUUACAUUGCUGUACUUAGCUUGCGGUGUCUUCCUAAAUAGAAACUUGUCAAAGAUCUUCUCAUGAGAUUCCUGCCCUUGCUGAUUCGAGUGUGUGUGUGUUAUCUGCUGAGUGGACUGCCUAUUCGUGUUUGGUGUUUGCUAGUGGGCUGGACUGUAAGCAGUGACUAAUUCGCCUCGAUGAACUAUUUCUAAACAGGUCCACUUCCCCCAUAUCUUUAUAACCUUUCAUUUCCACUACCUCUGGUGGGUGGUAGGCUAGAGGGGCGGUUAAACCCUUAUCACAGUAGGUUGUGAAAUGUAAUGGAUUGGCCUGAUGCUGCCUGUGUCCUAAUACUAAUAUUGUUUCCUAUGUUCCAACUAUGGUUGCCCCAGAGAUGAAGGAUUCCUCACAUAGACCCAAGUGACACUAUGUGACCUUACCCCCAAGUUAUUUCUGAUUGGUGAAUAAAGAUGCCAACAGCCAAUGCUGAGCAGAAGAAACAUGGGCAGAUUUUAGGGUUCUUGGGCCUCGGGGGUUGGAGGAGAACCACGUGGGAGAGAAGAAGGUGAAGGAGGAGAAGGAAGCUGCCAUGGAUUAGGAGCUGAAUGAUCAAGGUGGAGUGGAAACCCCGGAUUGGGGGCUGGAGAGAUGGCUCAGCGGUUAAGAGCACUGACUGCUCUUCCAGAGGUCCUGUGUUCA